rnacentral:rRNA from 1 species
ACGCGAAAGUCCCCUUCGGGGGACAAGUAGAGUGGCGCACGGGUGAGUAACACGUAGGUAAUCUACCUUUGGAUGGGGAAUAACAACCGGAAACGGUUGCUAAUACCGCAUAAUGCAGCGGCACCUAAUGGUGACAGUUGUUAAAGCGGGGGAUCGAAAGACCUCGCGUCUGAAGAGGAGCCUGCGGCGGAUUAGCUAGUUGGUAAGGUAACGGCUUACCAAGGCUAUGAUCCGUAGCCGGCCUGAGAGGGCGGUCGGCCACACUGACACUGACAUACGGGUCAGACUCCUACGGGAGGCAGCAGUCGGGAAUUUUGGGCAAUGGGCGCAAGCCUGACCCAGCAACGCCGCGUGAAGGAUGAAAUCCUUCGGGAUGUAAACUUCGCAAGAACAGGAAGAAUAAGUAAGGGUUAAUAUCUCUUACGAUGACGGUACUGUUUGUAAGCUCCGGCUAACUCCGUGCCAGCAGCCGCGGUAAUACGGGGGGAGCAAGCGUUGUUCGGAUUUACUGGGCGUAAAGGGCGCGUAGGCGGCCACCGCAAGUCGACUGUGAAAUCUCCGGGCUUAACCCGGAAAGGUCAGCCGAUACUGCGGGGCUAGAGUGCAGAAGGGGCAACUGGAAUUCUCGGUGUAGCGGUGAAAUGCGUAGAUAUCGAGAGGAACACUGCGGCGAANGGCGGGUUGCUGGGCUGACACUGACGCUGAAGCGCGAAAGCUAGGGGAGCGAACGGGAUUAGAUACCCCGGUAGUCCUAGCC